GAUGAACGCUGGCGGCGUGCUUAACACAUGCAAGUCGAACGAUGAAGCCCAGCUUGCUGGGUGGAUUAGUGGCGGACGGGUGAGUAACACGUGAGUAACCUGCCCUUGACUCUGGGAUAAGCCUGGGAAACUGGGUCUAAUACUGGAUAUGACUUCUCAUCGCAUGGUGGGGGGUGGAAAGAUUUAUUGGUCUUGGAUGGACUCGCGGCCUAUCAGCUUGUUGGUGAGGUAAUGGCUCACCAAGGCGACGACGGGUAGCCGGCCUGAGAGGGUGACCGGCCACACUGGGACUGAGACACGGCCCAGACUCCUACGGGAGGCAGCAGUGGGGAAUAUUGCACAAUGGGCGCAAGCCUGAUGCAGCGACGCCGCGUGAGGGAUGACGGCCUUCGGGUUGUAAACCUCUUUCAGUAGGGAAGAAGCGAGAGUGACGGUACCUGCAGAAGAAGCGCCGGCUAACUACGUG
rnacentral:rRNA from 1 species